GGACGGACCCAUCCCCAAAAAACAGCCCGAAAACGAAACCAUCCCCAAAGGAGAAAAACCCAAUCAAAACCCUCGUUCUUGGAAUCGAAUCGAAUCCACAGAGAGAGCGAGAGAGAGACAGAGAGAGAUUGAAGUUGUGAGAGAGAACAAAAAUGGUGGUGAGGAUAAGAUUAUCGAGGUUUGGAUGCAAGAACAAGCCUUUUUAUCGAGUUAUGGCUGCAGAUAACAGGUCUCCCAGAGACGGCAAGCACUUGGAAGUUUUGGGUUACUACAAUCCUCUCCCAGGUCAAGAUGGUGGUAAACGAAUGGGUCUUAAUUUUGACAGAGUGAAGUAAGUGUGUUUUUUUUAGAAGUUUAUCUCAAUAAAUAAUUCGAAACUUGUAAACGCAGAAGUGUUCAUAGCUGGAUGCUUUAACCAUGUGAAGCAAAUUUUCUAGACUUGUGUUACAUGAUUGAUUAUGGUUUAGAGUCUGCAACAUAAGUUAUAGCCCUCAAUGAACAAGGGAGUUAUAGCCUAGGAAAAUGAUGCAGCCAAUCUUAAGUUAUGUAUGUCAGUGUAUGUUUACAUUCUUUGCGUCCCCCAUGCAGAUUGUUAGGAGAGAGGGGAAAAGGAUUCAAAGAAAUAUGUAUGUGAAGAUGAGAGGUGUGAAUAGGAAGUAUUUUGUGUUAAUUUAUUAA